UAUUCCACUUCCCGCAGCCCUUCCUCACCUGGGGCACGCGGGCACUUCAGAAUUGUGCAAUGGUGGCAGAUGCCAGAGCCCAAGGCUAACAGCGGCUCGCUGGAUGCCUCUGCUUAGCCGAGGGAUUGCUGGAACGAAGAGCAAUUCCUUCAUUCCUUUUCCCAUAGGGGAGGUCUGCAGCCAGCCCCGCCAGGAGUGUGUGCAGUGCUUCCCAAGCAAACAGGAACAGGAGUUUGGGGUUCAGGGCCCCACACACAAGAGCCCGUGGUUUUGGUGGCCCCUGCAGAAACCGGAGUUUGGGAUGCAGGGCCCCACAUACAAACCCGUGGCUCUGGUCACCCCUGCAGGAGCAGGAGUUUGGGGUUCAGGGCCCCACACAGGAUCCCGCGGGUCUGAUGGCCUUUGCACAAACGGGAGUUUGGGGUUCAGGGGGUUCAGGGACCCACACGAGGCCGCGGCUCUAGCGGCCCGCAGGCGCGGCGGGGCAGGGCCCAGCUCCCGGCCGGGCCGAGCACCUGUGGGUGGAGGUGGGGACAGGACAGGGCAGAGGCAGCGAGCACCGGCAUCUUAAAGGCAAACGCUGGGGAGGAGGAGGGAAAAGCCAGGUUCCAGCUACAUGUUAAGCCCUCAGUAACGUGAUGGUGGACAAGUGAGAGAGUUUGGUAACACCAGCAGCACCGGCAUUUACGACUGGAGUGCAAACACUGCUGCUCGUUUAGGUAAUGAAUACAACUCACCGAUAAGCAGAACAUCAGCGAGCUGCAGCUGAAGCUGGGAUUCAGCCUGAGCAGGCAGCAAGCAGGGAUCAUGCAGGUCACCCAGGGUCCGUGUGUCCAGACUAUUAAUCUCAUCUCUAGCAUCUCUAGUAGUUCUUCCAACACAUCAUCGGUGUGGCACUCAUGGCAGUGAAGGAAGUGACACCAAGAGCUCCUUUGCCUCAGCAGUGUGUGAGAUCUCCAGAGGGCUGUUGCACACUGCUGGGUCACCUUCCGCUCUCUGCUUGCUCAGCUUCUGCAGUCACUAGCACCUCUAGCUUCCUUACCUUAGAUUAGGUUAGAGAGUGAGAUCAGUAAAUACCAAUGUUCAGCAGACAAAGAUAAGUUUCUUCCCUCCCUGUCUAGCCUGCUGUAAAGCAAAGGCAAGCAGUGCUUGUCAUUGCAGCAAAGCCACAGUCAGGCUGCCCUUUGGCUUUUAUACAAAGUGACCUGUGAAACAAAAAAGGGCUUGUGUCUGUGUGAUUUCUAAAAACAUGUAAAGUAGCCUGAGGCUUUUGCUGUCCUGGUAGUUUGGUUUUAGGAUUGGCUUGUUUACAGUUUGACUUCCUAAAAUCAUUGUGAGUGCAGCCAUGACGUUUAUCUGUCUGCCUGGCCUUCCAGUCACAUCAUCACAGAGUUUGAAUCUAUUGCCCAAUUUUGGCUUAGUCGGAGAUGGAGGUCUGUAAGAAGUUAAAACUCCUUGUGGAAUACCAGUCUUCAGGGUGAGCACAGUCCUGCACAGGCACCAUGCAGGAGCCAAACGUGGAGAGGCAGGAUGCAUUUUUUGGGUACUCCUAUGUUACUGGGCCCCAGUGAGACCUCCCAGGCAGCUCACCUACUGCCUUCCCUCAUUCUUCUCCUUCAGGGACUGUUCCUUUACACAAGGCACACCCAAAAACUCCUAUCUAGGUGGGAACAGCUACCAAAGGCAGUCUUAAAGCUUUUGACCCGAAUCAGGAAUAAAAACGCACACGUGAGCCCAACAAUAACUGACAUCCCUUCCCCCACAGGUUGGCAUUUUGAGCUUCUUGUCUGACUUAACCUGGGUGGUCUUUUCAUCUGAGGUCACAAAGACCCUUUGUAAACCAGAGGACAGAAGUGUACUCCUGACCUCCCAGGUCUGCGUGCACAACACAGCAACUGUACCCUGACACCAUAUUACAGCGAGCUCUGUGUGUAAAAGCUUUUCCUCUGCUUUUACACCUUGGCUUCUUUAGGCAAAAGCCACAGCCAGCCUACAGCUCAGGAAAGACUAGUGAGCUCAAGCCAAACCACAAGGAGGAUCCUCAGGUGCAGGACAGUGGAGAAACCAAUGGCAGACACCUACAUGUCCACAUGGAUACAAAGCCACAGCAGGGCACUAGUACAAAAGUGCAUUGCUACAGGAACAACCAGAGUUGAUUUUAUUUAAUAAUUUGUACAAGGAACACAACAGUAAUUCAAUAAUUCAAUUUAUUAAUUGCCAAAUAGUAAUCCACUGCAAUAAGAAACAAAAAAUCAACACAAAAAUAAGUUGCGGUUUGUGUGGAUAUGUGUUGUGUGUGUUUGUGUUUAACUUAAACUGGCAAGAGCAAGAACAGAAAAUUAACUUUUAAAUGAGUAUGUUAUAUACAAUCAAUAUCAACAUGUUACUUUGCUGGAUAGAUUUAUUUGGUGUUAUCCAAUCUUACCAAUAGGCCUAAACAUUGUUGCAAAUAACUGAAGGGCAAACCCAAAGCAGAACAACAAACCCAUAAAUAAGCUUGCAGGAUUCAAGAUAUGUCCUGCAGAAAAUAAACAGUGGUGCUUUGUGUCAUAUCUGAAACCCUUUCAUAAUGAGUAUUUUGUGCUAAAACUCUUUAUGUGAACAUACGUAGAACUCCAUCACUUAAAUUAAAAUGGAAAAAAAUCCC